AGUGGAUGGGGAGCAACCUAGUUGUGCGUGUGUAAAGGUAGUGCCAAGAAAAGCGAUGAUCAUGUUGAAAAUCAAUUCCCGGUACCCGAAACCGACACAGGUGGGCAAGUAGAGAAUACUAAGGGGCGCUAACUCUCUCCAAGGAACUCGGCAAAAUGACCCCGUAACUUAGGGAGAAGGGGUGCCACCGAGAGGUGGUCGCAGUGAAGAGGCCCAGGCGACUGUUUAGCAAAAACAUAGGUCUCUGCAAACUCGAAAGAGGAGGUAUAGGGGCUGACGCCUGCCCAGUGCCGGAAGGUUAAAGAAGUUGGUCAGUCUUAGGAUGAAGCUAGCGACUGAAGCCCCGGUGAACGGCGGCCGUAACUAUAACGGUCCUAAGGUAGCGAAAUUCCUUGUCGGGUAAGUUCCGACCCGCACGAAAGGCGUAACGAUCUGGGCGCUGUCUCGGAGAGAGGCUCGGCGAAAUAGGAUUGUCUGUGAAGAUACGGACUACCUGCAUUUGGACAGAAAGACCCUAUGAAGCUUUACUAUAGCUUGGAAUUGUGUUCGGGCUUCCUGUGCGCAGGAUAGGUGGGAGGCGUAGAAGGUAUUCUUGUGGGGAUACUGGAGCCAACGGUGAGAUACCACUCUCAGGAGGCUAGAAUUCUAACUUAAUUAAGGACAGUUUCAGGUGGGUAGUUUGACUGGGGCGGUCGCCUCCAAAAAGGUAACGGAGGCGUACAAAGGUUCCCUCAGACUGGUUGGAAAUCAGUCGAAGAGUGCAAAGGCAGAAGGGAGCUUGACUGCGAGAAGUACAGUUCGAGCAGGGUGGAAACACGGUCUUAGUGAUCCGACGGUGCUGUGUGGAAGGGCCGUCGCUCAACGGAUAAAAGUUACUCUAGGAUAACAGGCUGAUCUCCCCCAAGAGUUCACAUCGACGGGGAGGUUUGGCACCUCGAUGUCGGCUCAUCGCAACCUGGGGCGGAAGUACGUCCCAAGGGUUGGGCUGUUCGCCCAUUAAAGCGGUACGUGAGCUGGGUUCAGAACGUCGUGAGACAGUUCGGUCCAUAUCCGAUGUAGGCGUGAGAAUAUUGAGAGGAGCCUUCCUUAGUACGAGAGGACCGGGAAGGACGCACCGCUGGUGUACCUGUUAUGAUGCCAAUUGUAAACGCAGGGUAGCCAAGUGCGGAGAGGAUAACCGCUGAAAGCAUCUAAGUGGGAAGCCCACCUCAAGAUGAGUAUUCUGGUGUAAGGUCACGGGAAGACGACCCGUAAAUAGGCACGAGGUGGAAGUGCAGAGAUGUAUGAAGCCGAAGUGUACUAAUAGACCGUCGGCUUGACC
rnacentral:rRNA from 1 species